rnacentral:sRNA from 1 species
GCUGGGUGUGGUGAUGCACACCUGUAAUCCCAGCAGCUCAGGAGGCUGAGGCAGGAGGAUUGAGAGUUCGGAGCCAGACUCAG